CUCAUCAAGAGCAAGGGGUCAAAUAGGUUUCAACUUACAGGCCCACUCUGAUUUGUACUGUUGAGAAGGAUUCUGAAGCUGUGUCUAACUUUACCCUUGGUUAUUCCUUAAGUCUCCCAAGGACGCAAAUGAAAGGAAUCAACGCAUUCAUGUUACUUAUUAGUCCGCCCUGUCUAGGGUCUGAUUCCAGAUCGGGAAACUCAGGGAGCCCCUCUAAAGUGGAGACUAUCAAAAGUGGGUUCACACUUAAGGCCCGCCUCCCUUUGAUACACUUCUCUGUUUAAAAACCAUCUGAAUCUGAGGCCACGGGUCCUGGAGAAAGCAGGUGAAGGGGCUAUUCUUAAGCCACUUUGGACAUAAAUCCAUAAACUGGUAUCAGGUUUAUCACUGAUUCUCGGUAAAGGUAUUUCCAUCUAUGCCUGGAGCAGCCUCUUCCUCAGAUGGCAGUGGGCAAACUCUGGCAUGUCCCCUUUUUCCAGAGCGCAUGGAGAAGAGUGAGACCUUCUGUCCAGCUGCCUCUGCUUGGAUGUCACUUCCCUAAGCCUGGUGUGGAGUCAGGCGCGCUGAGACUGGCUUUCAUCCCGGCCAGCGGAUCCUCCGUGGAGGGGCCUUUGGGCUGCGGGAACGAUGUAGCACAGACUAGGGGGCUCAAAGCACAGCAAUUUAUCAUCUCACAGUUCUGGAGGCUGGAAGUCCAAGAUCGAGGUGUGGGCAGGGUCGGUUCCCGCUGAAGAUGUGAGAGAGAAUCUGUUCUUGCCUCUCCCCUGGCUCCCGGGGAACAAAUCUACAAUGAAACACAGAUUUUGUAUGUAUAUUUGCUGAUUUCUUGACUAAUGCAUACACUUGUAUAACCGAAACCUGUCUCAAGAUAUAGAACAUUCUCGUCACCCAUAAAGUUCCUGUGUGCCCCUUCGCAGUCAGUCCCAGCCCACCCAGAGGCAUCCAACACAUCAAUUGAAUUUCUUGCUCAUCCUUCAGUGAAGACUAUCAAAGAUACGUGGAUAGGAGGUGAUCUUUGAGAAGAAGCAGAAUGAUAUGUUUUCAUCUUGUUAUUCCUGAUUCCCAUUCUCUGGGUUUCUGGUCCCAAGUCAGCAGGGAGUCCUCUACACCUGGAACUGCCCAUUUCUGGAGAGGGGAGGAAACGUCAGGCUUGCUUGUGAAGAGCAUCUCAUCCUGAGUCCAACAGGAGGAAACCAAUCUCUCAGCACUCUCCUCCAAGCCAAGGACAAAUGACGUUCCCAACACACGUGCAUGAAGCCAGGGGGAUUAAUUGUGUAGCGCUGAAGGAAAAUUACAACUUUCCUAAGAAGCUUAAAAUACACAAAUUAAAUCUCGUCUGUGAUUAAAUCCUGGCUACUUCUCAUCCUGGUUUAUGUCUGUGGUUCUUGGGAAAUUAAAAAGUGUUUGCCCAACCACUGACUAUCGAUCAAGUUUUAAAGACUAAGAGGCACGGAGAGCUCUCGGAAAGAAGAACGUGACGUAAGACUGUGGGGUUCACCGAAGAAAGCCAACGUGACACGGUGGUGCUGAAGAGUGGGGAGGUGUUUGUGAAUAAAAGGAGGCCACCCAUCUCUGUAGGCUGAACUGAGCUGAGCUGACAUUGUCACUAAUAAAAUGCUGAGGAAACAUUUUAAUGCAAUAGGCUAUGUUCACUGGGGCUAAAAAUAAAUGCUUUCUGGUAUUCUGUAGUAACACCGAAAAUGACUUCACAGGUGUGAAACGUGGAGAAGAAUUUAGUUGCAUGUCUUGGUUUUUUCAGCCAUAAGCAAAAAGCCUCCCCUUGUGUGGUGUCCUCUCUCGUCAGUGAUGUAACACCCAUACAACGUUGAACAGAACACACGACUGAUCACAUGUUGUUUCAUCAUAAAUGGCCACGUGUUCUGAGAUCAGUGUCUGGGAUUUCAGUGUAUGGAUUUAUAUUCAUAUUUUUUGUUCUAUGUUUAUAAGAUAUUUACAGUUAUAUGUUCUGGAUGUCUUCUAUCGAAAGAUUAAAUCUC
ensembl:lncRNA